CGCCGAGACACUUUAGGAAUGAGGAGGGGCGCGGUGGAGCUUCCUCGGGGCGGAGGGACACAGCGCAGGCACUUUGCGAGAGACGGAGGCACAGUGCUCUACGUUGGUUCCUUAUUUGCUUCUGUCAUGGUCUCUGCAUGAAAAACGUCCAAAAGCCCUCCCUGACCACCCCAACAAAUAUGUAGAGAGAAGUUAUAUGAUUGGACUUCUAGAAAGGAAAAUACGAUCGUAUGUCGCUAAAGCUGUGUGCUUAAAGUCUGUGUAGAUGAUCGAGGACAACACUCCCUAAAGACAGUUCGGCAUCUGACUUGGAGCUGAUGAAGGAGGAGGAACUUGGGAUCCAGGGGUGAAGUCAACCUGGUCUAAUGGAGGAGGCAUUCUAGUCAAAUCAAACGGAGGAGACAGGGAAAGAAAGGUGCUUCGUGGUGUCCGUCUUGCCAACAUGAAGAUGCUAGUUCUGGGCACAGCCACAAGAUGCCAGAUGGUACCCAGGUGCCAAUUGCUAACUAACUGGUGA